UUUGCUGGAGCAGUGGUUUUAGAAUUCAGUAGCUAAUGUCACUAGGAGAGUGUAUGCUUCUGCUUGGCCCUUUGCUGGUUCUGUCCAGUGCUGGUUAGGUAGAUGUUGAUGACUGAGCCUGGACUUGGGUAUUUUUCUGUAGUUUGAAAUCCCCAUCAAUGCUUCCGCUUCUUCUAGAACUGUUGUCUUCGUAGCUGCAGAUGUUGAAGCUUCUUGUAAUUGUCUUUCCAAGUUAGAAGGGGAAUAGGCAAAGAAGGGGUGUUGGAGUUAUUAGGAGGGCUUUGGUAGUUUAAAAAAAGAAAAAGUUGUGGUGGAUGGAAAGAAGAAGGAAUCACCAACCAAGCAUAUGCAGUGUGUUGCUGAUGUGACGUUGGGGCUGUGGAGGAAAAGAUGUAGAAGCUGGGUUUAGGGAGAAUAAAGGAAUGCAGAAGCUGGACAAGGAGAAACCCGAGAGGAAGUGGUAGUAUAUACAGUGCUCCUAUUUCGUGCAUGUUGUUUGAGUAAUGUAGGGUAUUUUUAUAUAUCACUUGUGUAGGUAUUCUCCCAACAGAAGGUAGGACUCAGGUAGAGCCUCCCCUGCUUCCCACUUCCUUACACCCAUGUUUCCUCAUUAUUAAAUAAUACUUCCCCAAUAUUAUUUCUGUAUUAGCACUAGUGGUUGAUUGGUCUCCUCAGCAUAAGCUUUUACCUAAAAUGUAAGAAGAAAAAUCCACCUGAAUCCUCAGCAGCUUGAGGCAGUUCCUAAAUUCUUCUCAGUGUGCUUUCCCAGUAAAUAUUUAAGAGAACUUGCGAUGGCUGUGUUACUUUUACCAUGGAGGUGUCAUGAUUUUAAAAAUGCAUUGUGUCAAAUCACAGUAAAAUUCUUCUAUCUCAGUACCUCUGCAGAUCCCUGCUCUGCGUAGUCUGUAACUGCCCUGACUGGCUCCCUCCCCUGAGCUGGCAGCAAACCGCCUUCCGUUUACCCAGACCGAUACAACCUUAAGAUGGGACGAAGUGCAGACAGGCCCUGCCUAUUCAUUUUCAAAGCAGAUGAGUUCCUAAGUGGUAGCAGGAAGUGAGUGAAGGAGAGACACUACCACCUGUAAGCUUUGUUUCAAAUAACCACAAUUAAAGGUAAUGAAAUUGAGAGAGCGAGAAUAUGGAAGAACACCAGCAGCGUACUCUCAAGGUAAAGCUUCUUUCUUUGGAACUGUUUGCAUAAUGCUUCCAGCCAGUCAAGCCCAGCUGCAACCAUGGCAAAGACCACAAUUGCUGCAAGUGUGACUGAAGAAUAGAUGCAGAUGCUAGUCCUGUCAAGAACAACAAGUCCACGACAGCACGGCAUACCCUCCUCUUCUGAGAGAAAAGAGGUGUUCUGCAGCCCUCAGACAGGAUCACCUUGCCCCUACCCCAGGGAGACCAGAUCAGUGCAGGCUGCUGUGGAUCCUGUGCUGACAAACCUACAGGUCAAGUCCACCAUUCUGGAGCCAACCCUGGGAUUCACACGCUAGCUAGUGCUAUUCACAAUAGCACUGUUUUUAAUGUUUUAUCAAAGGAAGAGGUCUUCCAAGCACUUCAUAAAGAAGUCAGUGGUUUUUGUAAAAAACGCGUUACGGAGACUGCUAGAAUGUUAGGAAGCAACAGAAUGCAUAACCAUUAUCAGAAGCUGACAUUCUUGUUGGAUUGCCUUGCAGCCAAACCUGCGUGGCUGUUGAUUGAAAAAGCAGGUAGAGAUGGUUAAGUAGCUAAAGAAUAUGACGAGAAAAAACAUAAAAGCCAUUUAUAAACAGAGCCAAACCAGAAAUGGCUUAUGUUUUGUUACUGGUUGUUUUAAGCAUGCCACAGAGAUACUGCUACGGUACAGCUGUUUAACCAGACCAUUUGUAAAGGGUGAGACCUCAGUUAUAAGCAGUGUAUGCAAUAAACAGUAAUCGAUACUCAAUUCAACAUCCAGUAAAACACCUACUAUGCACUUUUAGCUUUUAAAAUAAAGCAUUAAUAUACAACACAAACAAAUAAAAAGAUGAAAAAUCAGUGUU